rnacentral:lncRNA from 1 species
ACAUAUAAAUAUAGGUCAAUACUUUCCUACUUUGUCUAACUUGUGUGCGUGACUCCAUAGGUUCAGACACUAAGCUGGUAGCAUAGAAAUCAAUUUUUAUACUAAUCGAUAUAUCAUCUAGUAAUGUUUCUCGAUAUGCGAAUAGAUCAAAUUAUCUCAAAAGAAUAUUUCAGAAUCCAUACACAUGGUUACCACAUAAUUCAUCCUUUUGACCUUA